rnacentral:rRNA from 1 species
UACGAAGGGUGCAAGCGUUAAUCGGAAUUACUGGGCGUAAAGCGUGCGUAGGCGGUUUGUUAAGUCUGUUGUGAAAUCCCCGGGCCCAACCUGGGAAUGGCAAUGGAUACUGGCAGGCUAGAGUGUGUCAGAGGAUGGUGGAAUUCCCGGUGUAGCGGUGAAAUGCGUAGAGAUCGGGAGGAACAUCAGUGGCGAAGGCGGCCAUCUGGGACAACACUGACGCUGAGGCACGAAAGCGUGGGGAGCAAACAGG